ensembl:lncRNA
AUAACGUUGACUGAAUAGGUGUUUGCUGACAGACAUUGACCUGCAGCCUAAAUAAUCACAUGAAGGAGAAGAAAAUCUCCAUGAGUAGUCAGCAUGGCAAGUCGCACCUGACUGAACAGAUAAGCUUCUAUAAGGAAUUCACCAGCCUGAUGGAUGAAGGAGGAGCAGAGGACCUUGUCUUCCCAGUCUUCCUUAAGGCCUUUGACACUGAUCCCCAUAAGGUCCUAGGGCUGAGGAGUCAUGAUGGACAUCAAGAUGAACUUGAGGCAGCAAUGUGCUGUUGAUACUAAGAAGGCUCAUGGUAUUCUUGGCUGAAUUAAGAGCAUGGAUUGAAGUCAGGUACCCCUUCUCCCCCUUGAGAAAGGAGCCAACAGAAGAAUCAAGAGAAAUGAAAGAGUAAAAGAGGUGGCUGCAAGUGAUACAAUGAGUACCAUAGAGACGACUGCAAAGCUGCUUGGAGUCCUGCUCAACUCUCUAUCAAAACCUGUGCAACUCUGUCCACUCUGGGGGAGCUUAGCAAAUGGAAAUGACCACGUGUUUUUAACCAAUAAUCUACAAUAAUCACCAAUAAUCUACACAAAUAAAACUAUUAUUAUUAUUAUUAUUAUUAUUAUUAUUAUUACAAAAAGGGAAACAAGCAAGUGAAGAAGGGGGAAAAAUAAAAUGUAUAAAGCGAGCUUCCACUUAGAGGUUUCAACCUAUGGGUUACAACCUAUGGCUUAAAGAGUUUUUAAUGGGUUAUUUCUUUGUCCUCACAGAACUCAGCGUGUCUAGAAACACAUUUUUUUGCAGCAG